UCGCUUCGGCAGCACAUAUACUAAAAUUGGAACGAUACAGAGAAGAUUAGCAUGGCGCCUGCGCAAGGAUGACACUUUUUGUAAAUUUAUGAUUACUUUUUGU